rnacentral:rRNA from 1 species
UACGAAGGGGGCUAGCGUUGUUCGGAAUUACUGGGCGUAAAGCGCACGUAGGCGGGUCGUUAAGUCAGGGGUGAAAUCCCAGAGCUCAACUCUGGAACUGCCUUUGAUACUGGCGACCUAGAGUCCGGAAGAGGUUAGUGGAAUUCCCAGUGUAGAGGUGAAAUUCGUAGAUAUUGGGAAGAACACCAGUGGCGAAGGCGGCUAACUGGUCCGGUACUGACGCUGAGGUGCGGAAAGCCGUGGGGAGCAAACAGG